AGAAUCGGAUUCCGGAAGUUUUUCUUCUCCUUCCCUCUCGUUCGUACAACAGUUCUCAAAUUCCUCUUCUCCUAACUUCUCUCCGCUACUGUUUCUUUUUUUUUUCUAUCACUUCUUUUAUUUUCUCUUUAUUAAAUUAACUAAAUAUCCUAAUCUCUAAUGGGCCUAAUAUAACACCUCUCAUUUUACUAAUUAGCACACAAUGAUAAGCCCACUUACUCAAAUAACACCACAAUUAUAUUAUUAUUUCUUAUAAUAAUUUCUACGACUUUCGACUAAUUUCCGACUAACCACAAUAAUUACGUAAAUAUUAAAAAUAACAAAUAAUUAUUUUUGGGCGUUACAUGUAUCAUAUCGAAGAAGCAUCUUAUAUUUUAGAAUUAAGACAUUUCGAACAAGGUAAUGAUACCUUAAUUGAAUCUAAGGCUCUAUAAGGAUACUAGAGCAGUAUC
rnacentral:lncRNA from 1 species